GACGAACGCUGGCGGCGUGCUUAACACAUGCAAGUCGAACGGAAAGGCCCUGCUUUUGUGGGGUGCUCGAGUGGCGAACGGGUGAGUAACACGUGAGUAACCUGCCCUUGACUUUGGGAUAACUUCAGGAAACUGGGGCUAAUACCGGGUAGGAGCUCCUGCUGCAUGGUGGGGGUUGGAAAGUUUCGGCGGUUGGGGAUGGACUCGCGGCUUAUCAGCUUGUUGGUGGGGUAGUGGCUUACCAGGGCUUUGACGGGUAGCCGGCCUGAGAGGGUGACCGGCCACAUUGGGACUGAGAUACGGCCCGGACUCCUACGGGAGGCAGCAGUGGGGAAUAUUGCACAAUGGGCGGAAGCCUGAUGCAGCAACGCCGCGUGCGGGAUGACGGCCUUCGGGUUGUAAACCGCUUUCGCCUGUGACGAAGCGUGAGUGACGGUAAUGGGUAAAGAAGCACCGGCUAACUACGUG
rnacentral:rRNA from 1 species